CAUUUGGGGCAGCCACAGGUGCCAGAGGUGAGGAACAGCUGAAACCAUGGAUGGGACACACAGGAAAAGCAGGAGCUCCUGACAUAUCCCUCACAUAAGGUUAUCUGAGAAUGACGGAGCAAGAAUGAGAACUGGUCAACACGCAUCAAUUUCUCAACCCAGCACCGGCACACUCAGCAGUACUGUUCGGCGCAAAGAGCCUGAAAUAAACACCCAGCUGCAACAGAAAAAAACACAGGCGCAGUUGGAUUGCAGAUAGCUGCCCCCUUUGAAAUGAGGCGUGCUCACGUCCUUUGCUGUCGCCAAUGAAAGGUGAGCGGAAGAGACGUGUUCUUCUGGGCAGCGCACUUAUGCUUAAGGACACUGCAAUGCCCUCCAAGGAAAUCGUGGACGUGAAUGUGGAGACUGAACCACUGGCACGCUGACUGUGAGCUGAGGCUCCUGCUGACUCACCUUAGACGUGGAGUGUGAACUCCAAAUAAAUGUUCUUAAAUAAGCA
rnacentral:lncRNA from 1 species